rnacentral:rRNA from 1 species
UGGCUCAGGAUGAACGCUGGCGGUCUGCUUAACACAUGCAAGUCGAACGGAGGUCUUCGGACCUUAGUGGCGGACGGGUGAGUAACGCGUGAGAAUCUGGCCUCAGGACGGGGACAACGACUGGAAACGGUCGCUAAUACCCGAUGUGCCGAGAGGUGAAAGGAUUAAUUGCCUGAGGAUGAGCUCGCGUCUGAUUAGCUAGUUGGGGGGUAAUGGCCCACCAAGGCGACGAUCAGUAGCUGGUCUGAGAGGAUGAUCAGCCACACUGGGACUGAGACACGGCCCAGACUCCUACGGGAGGCAGCAGUGGGGAAUUUUCCGCAAUGGGCGAAAGCCUGACGGAGCAAGACCGCGUGAGGGAAGACGGCCUACUGGUUGUAAACCUCUUUUGAUAGGGAAGAACACAAUGACGGUACCUAUCGAAUCAGCCUCGGCUAACUCCGUGCCAGCCGCCGCGGUAAU